rnacentral:rRNA from 1 species
UACGAAGGGGGCUAGCGUUGCUCGGAAUGACUGGGCGUAAAGGGCGCGUAGGCGGCUUGUAGAGUCGGAUGUGAAAUUCCUGGGCUUAACCUGGGGGUUGCAUUCGAUACCUACGGGCUUGAGUGCGGAAGAGGGUCGUGGAAUUCCUGGUGUAGCGGUGAAAUGCGCAGAUAUCAGGAGGAACACCGGUGGCGAAGGCGGAUCUCUGGGCCAUUACUGACGCUGAGGAGCGAAAGCGUGGGGAGCGAACAGG